rnacentral:rRNA from 1 species
CAGCGGAGGGAUCAUUACCGAGUUGCAAAACUCCCAACCCAUUGUGAACCAAUACCACUGUUGCUUCGGCGGACACGCCCCGGGCGCACCUCCUCACGGGGGCGUGCCCCGGAACCAGGCGCCCGCCGGGGGACCGAAACCUCUGUAUUUACCAUUUGAGUACUCUGAGUGUGAUUUACAAAAUCAAAAUUAAAACUUUCAACAACGGAUCUCUUGGCUCUAGCAUCGAUGAAGAACGCAGCGAAAUGCGAUAAGUAAUGCGAAUUGCAGAAUUCAGUGAAUCAUCGAAUCUUUGAACGCACAUUGCGCCCGCCAGUAUUCUGGCGGGCAUGCCUGUCUGAGCGUCGUUUCGACCCUCGCGCCCGGCUUCUGUCGGGGGCGGUGUUGGGGAUCGGCCACACCCUUCAGUGGGAGGCCGGCCCCUAAAUGGAGUGGCGACCACGCCGUAGCCUCCUCUGCGUAGUAGUAACUAACCUCGCAGGCGGAGAGCGGUGCGGCCCGCCGUAAAACCCCCCAACUUUUACAAGGUCGACCUCAGAUCAGGUAGGAAUACCCGCUGAACUUAAGCAUAUCAAUAAGCGGAGGAAAAGAAACCAACAGGGAUUGCCUCAGUAACGGCGAGUGAAGCGGCAACAGCUCAAAUUUGAAAUCUGGCCUCUGGCCCGAGUUGUAAUUUGCAGAGGAUGUUUCUGGCGAGGUGCCUUCCGAGUUCCCUGGAACGGGACGCCAUAGAGGGUGAGAGCCCCGUACGGUUGGUCGCUAAGCCUCUGUGAAACUCCUUCGACGAGUCGAGUAGUUUGGGAAUGCUGCUCUAAAUGGGAAGUGUACG